rnacentral:tRNA from 1 species
AGGGGAGGUCCAACCAACAAGAACUGCUAAUUCUUAUAUCUGAGCUUAAAACCUCAGUCCCCUU